rnacentral:rRNA from 1 species
AUGCUCGCCGGUCGUGAGCCCCACAAAGUGAAGCUGCGGGAGGCCGGCAGCGGGCGUCGCAGGCUGUGGGAUGUGUUGGUGGUGUUCGAUGGCAAAGGCCACAUGUACCUAGGGCCCGGUUGGGAGCAUUUCGCCCGCGCCCAUGAGCAGCAGCUCAUGCACUUCCUUAUCUUCCGCUACGACGGCGACGCCAUGUUCACUGUGAAGAUGUUCGACAACACCAUGUGCCGCAUGUACUACCAGCACGACGACGAUGCCAGCAAUGGGAGCGGCAGCGGGGAUGACGAGGGAGCAGAGCGGGGAGGUGCAGCCUAUUCUGGCUGA